rnacentral:rRNA from 1 species
AGGGCUUAUCCUAUGGAUCAAGCAUCACGGGAGAUCGUCGCAAGACGAUGAACGUGGGCGAGACAUGGCGAGAAUGAAUCCGAAUACGAUUCGCUGGUCAUGUAAGAAAAAGCAAAUGGACUCAGCAUCCAUCCUAUUGGUUCGAUCCAGUUUUCAAGGCGCAAGCCACGUCUUGAACACGCGUAACGUUUGGUGGCGAUGGCGGAAGGGAACCACGCGUACCCAUCCCGAACACGACCGUUAAGCCUUCCAGCGCCGAUGGUACUUGGACCGCAGGGUCCUGGGAGAGUAGGACGUCGCCAAGC